GACUCGUCACACUAUCAUUAACUGAAUCCAUAGGUUAAUGAGGCGAACCGGGGGAACUGAAACAUCUAAGUACCCCGAGGAAAAGAAAUCAACCGAGAUUCCCCCAGUAGCGGCGAGCGAACGGGGAGGAGCCCAGAGCCUGAAUCAGCAUGUGUGUUAGUGGAAGCGUCUGGAAAGGCGCGCGAUACAGGGUGACAGCCCCGUACACAAAAGCGCAUGUGCUGUGAGCUCGAUGAGUAGGGCGGGACACGUGGUAUCCUGUCUGAAUAUGGGGGGACCAUCCUCCAAGGCUAAAUACUCCUGACUGACCGAUAGUGAACCAGUACCGUGAGGGAAAGGCGAAAAGAACCCCGGCGAGGGGAGUGAAAAAGAACCUGAAACCGUGUACGUACAAGCAGUGGGAGCACCCUUUGGGGUGUGACUGCGUACCUUUUGUAUAAUGGGUCAGCGACUUAUAUUCUGUAGCAAGGUUAACCGAAUAGGGGAGCCGGAGGGAAACCGAGUCUUAAUUGGGCGUUAAGUUGCAGGGUAUAGACCCGAAACCCGGUGAUCUAGCCAUGGGCAGGUUGAAGGUUGGGUAACACUAACUGGAGGACCGAACCGACUAAUGUUGAAAAAUUAGCGGAUGACCUGUGGCUGGGGGUGAAAGGCCAAUCAAACCGGGAGAUAGCUGGUUCUCCCCGAAAGCUAUUUAGGUAGCGCCUCGUGAAUUCAUCUCCGGGGGUAGAGCACUGUUUCGGCUAGGGGGCCAUCCCGGCUUACCAACCCGAUGCAAACUGCGAAUACCGGAGAAUGUUAUCACGGGAGACACACGGCGGGUGCUAACGUCCGUCGUGAAGAGGGAAACAACCCAGACCGCCAGCUAAGGUCCCAAAGUCAUGGUUAAGUGGGAAACGAUGUGGGAAGGCCCAGACAGCCAGGAUGUUGGCUUAGAAGCAGCCAUCAUUUAAAGAAAGCGUAAUAGCUCACUGGUCGAGUCGGCCUGCGCGGAAGAUGUAACGGGGCUAAACCAUGCACCGAAGCUGCGGCAGCGACGCUGAUGCGUUGUUGGGUAGGGGAGCGUUCUGUAAGCCUGCGAAGGUGGCCUGUGAGGGUUGCUGGAGGUAUCAGAAGUGCGAAUGCUGACAUAAGUAACGAUAAAGCGGGUGAAAAGCCCGCUCGCCGGAAGACCAAGGGUUCCUGUCCAACGUUAAUCGGGGCAGGGUGAGUCGACCCCUAAGGCGAGGCCGAAAGGCGUAGUCGAUGGGAAACGGGUUAAUAUUCCCGUACUUGGUGUUACUGCGAAGGGGGGACGGAGAAGGCUAUGUUGGCCGGGCGACGGUUGUCCCGGUUUAAGCGUGUAGGUGUGUGUUCCAGGUAAAUCCGGUU
rnacentral:rRNA from 1 species